rnacentral:lncRNA from 1 species
CCUCGAAAUUUUUCAGCAGCAGCAGCAGCGAGAUACAAGACAGUAUUGCCUUAGUUGUCCUUCCGAUUGAUCACCUAUUCCUUCUUGUGCCAUGCUCCACCAACACAACGACCACGUCAAACCAGUAGUCCUUCACCGCAAGCUGAAGCGCGGUCACCUUAGGGCGUUUGUCUCUUCGACGGACUCAGGCAAAGCGGAGAGCAGUACCUUCGUGACAUCGAGCUCUCCGUUCACGACCGCAUAAUGCAAAGGGAUUCUUCUCUCCCUUCCCUUCACAAAGCAUAGGUGUUGACCCCCAAAGUCUAGAGUUCCCUCGCUGUAAUAACUGAGAGAGAGAGAGUGGGAGUCAAGGAGGGGACGAGGGGAAGCAAAGAGGAAAAAGAGAUGGGAAAAAAAACAGGAGAGAAAGAGAGGGGAGAGACGUGAGUGUGAACGAGAGAGGGAGAAGAAAACAGAAAGGAGAAAAAGAG